UACGUAGGGUGCAAGCGUUGUCCGGAAUUAUUGGGCGUAAAGAGCUCGUAGGCGGUCUGUCGCGUCGGCUGUGAAAACCCGGAGCUCAACUCCGGGCCUGCAGUCGAUACGGGCAAACUGGAGUGUUGUAGGGGAGACUGGAAUUCCUGGUGUAGCGGUGAAAUGCGCAGAUAUCAGGAGGAACACCGGUGGCGAAGGCGGGUCUCUGGGCAACAACUGACGCUGAGGAGCGAAAGCGUGGGGAGCGAACAGG
rnacentral:rRNA from 1 species